AGGACGAACGCUGGCGGCGUGCUUAACACAUGCAAGUCGAGCGGAGAGGCCUUUCGGGGUACUCGAGCGGCGAACGGGUGAGUAACACGUGAGUAAUCUGCCCAUCGCUUCAGGAUAGCCAUCGGAAACGGUGAUUAAUACUGGAUAUGACAUUCCUUCGCAUGUUGGGGUGUGGAAAGUUUUUUCGGCGGUGGAUGUGCUCGCGGCCUAUCAGCUUGUUGGUGGGUAAUGGCCUACCAAGGCUUUGACGGGUAGCCGGCCUGAGAGGGUGACCGGCACGACUGGGACUGGAGACACGGCCCAGACUCCGUACGGGAGGCAGCAGUGGGGAAUAGUUGGACAAGUGGGCGAAGCCUGAUCCAGCAACGCCGCGUGAGGAUGACGGCCUUGGUUGUAACCGUCUUCACGCACAGACGUAGUUUGUCGUUUUUGGUAGUAGU
rnacentral:rRNA from 1 species